rnacentral:tRNA from 1 species
GGCGAGAUGGCCGAGCGGUCUAAGGCGCCAGACUAAGGAGACCAGCGUAUCUGAUACGCAAUUUCAUCUGGUCCGAAAGGGCGUGGGUUCGAAUCCCACUCUUCGUCA